rnacentral:rRNA from 1 species
AGCAGCCGCGGUAAUUCCAGCUCCAAUAGCGUAUAUUAAAGUUGUUGCAGUUAAAAAGCUCGUAGUUGAAUUUCGGGGUCAGUAGGCUGGUCGUGCCCCCGGUACGUACUGGUCUCACUGAUUCCUCCUUCCUGAAGAACCGUAAUGCCAUUAAUUUGGUGUUGCGGGGAAACAGGACCGUUACUUUGAAAAAAUUAGAGUGUUUAAAGCAAGCUAACGCUUGAAUACAUUAGCAUGGAAUAAUGAAAUAGGACGAUCGAUCCUAUUUUGUUGGUUUCUAGGAUUGACGUAAUGAUUAAUAGGGAUAGUUGGGGGCAUUAGUAUUCAAUUGUUCAGAGGUGAAAUUCUUGGAUUUAUUGAAGACUAACUACUGCGAAAGCAUUUGCCAAGGAUGUUUUCAUUAAUCAAGAACGAAAGUUAGGGGAUCGAAGACGAUCAGAUACCGUCGUAGUCUUAACCAUAAACUAUGCCGACUAGGGAUCGGAUGAUGUUAAUUUUAUAAUGACUCAUUCGCGCCUUACGGGAAACC